GAAGAGGCGGGGGGGAGGAGGGGCGGGUUGCGGCCAUGGUUCUGCCGCUCGCGCGCCGCGCACUCCUCGCCGCUGCCCUGGGCUCGGCCGGCCGGCCGCGGCUCCCCCGUCACCAUGCUCCGGCGGCGGCGGCGGCGGCGGCGCGGCCCUCCUCGGGCGCGGGGGGGCAGCCGGACACCGAGGGGCCCGGGCGGGCCACCGCCAUGCUGCGACACCUGCUGCUCAAGAUGCGGGCCACCGGGCCGGUGACGGUGGCCGAGUACAUGCGGGAGGCGCUCACCAACCCCGGCCAGGGUUACUACACGCGUGGCGGCGGCAUCGGCGAGAGCGGGGAUUUCGUCACCUCACCUGAAAUAAGUCAGGUGUUUGGAGAGUUAAUAGGAAUAUGGUACAUUAGCGAAUGGAUAGCCGCGGGCAAACCUAAAGCGUUCCAGCUGGUGGAACUGGGCCCAGGGAGGGGCACCCUUACUGAUGAUAUAUUACGGGUCUUCAAUCAGCUUGCCUCUUUGCUUAGUAAAUGUGAUGUCUCUAUUCAUCUGGUAGAAGUGAGUCCCAAACUCAGCAAGAUCCAAGCGCUGAUGCUGACAGGAGGGAAGGCACAGUCCAACCCCGAGGACAAGUCUGCUUACAUGAAAGGUAUCAGCAAGACUGGAAUUCCCAUCUCCUGGUACAGAGACAUUCAAGAUGUUCCGCCAGGUUACAGCUUUUACCUAGCACAUGAGUUUUUUGAUGCCCUGCCAAUACAUAAGUUUCAGAGAACAGAGAAAGGCUGGCGUGAAGUGUUGGUUGAUGUAGAUCCAGAUGUUCCUGACCAGCUGCGGUUUGUCCUGUCACCAUCCAGCACGCCCGCAACAGAAAACUUCAUUCAGCCUGAAGAAACAAGAGAUCACGUGGAAGUGUGUCCUGAGGCUGGUGUCAUCAUCCAGAGGCUUGCCUGUCGGAUAGAAAAUGAUGGUGGGGCUGCACUCAUUGCUGAUUAUGGUCACGAUGGAACUAAAACUGACACUUUCCGUGGUUUUCGAAAUCACAAACUUCAUCAUGUGCUGAGAGCGCCUGGUACAGCAGACCUGACAGCAGAUGUUGAUUUCAGCUAUCUUCGAAAGAUGACGCAGGGAAGAACAGCCACGUUAGGCCCCAUAAAACAGCGGGAGUUCUUAAAAAACAUGGGCAUUGACCUCCGAUUGCAGGUGCUCUUGCAGAAUUCCUGUGACACAGCAACUCACGAGCAGUUACAUCACAGCUAUGAUAUGUUGAUGAAUCCCAAGAAGAUGGGGGACUGUUUUAACUUUUUUGCCCUGCUGCCUCACCACAGACUUGUGCAUCCUGACAGGGAACAUAAGCCAGAAUCAAAGUCUCCCUUACCACCUGUGGCUGGAUUCAAUGAACUCUUACUGAAGUAAUUUCAAAUACUAUAGCAAAAUGUCUGAUAAAUAGUAGCUUACAAUAGCAGCUUAAUUAAAAAAUCAAAGUAAAAAAUAGUCCCACAUUUUAUGGUUUGACAUACUAAAUAUUUUGCAAUAUAUGUGCUAAGGAGACGCUCAGGUUUGAUACUUGCUUAAAACACACGAUGCCCUGAUAUUUUUGAAGAUAUCUUUAUUAAGAGAAUGGGGCCAAGAACCAUGCGAAAAGAGUUAUUAGUUCCAAAGUACCUGCUAACAGAAUUCCCACAGCCAGGACUGUCUAAUGACAGAUCCACAACCAAGGAAGCAUAAAGAAACAUUUCCUUCUAAAAGCAUGUGACAGGAAAGAUAAUUCAUGUAAAUAAAAAGAACAAGGCUGAUAGGGAAAUAAAUUUUAUUUUCAAGCUUAUCAGAGGAUAUUUACAAACAAUGGGAUGUAUAAAAAUAUAAAAGUACUUGACAGUGUCCUUUUGAGGCUAUAAAUUUUACAUGAGCUUUUUUCUAGCAUCAUCAUAGCACUAUUUUUUGCAUGGAUGCAACUUAAUUCAUCUAGGGGUAAGGAUAUGAAACACCAUAAACUACUGCUGUCAAAGUUUGCAGUAAAGGUAGAAAAAAGGGAAUAAAAACCUCAGCUAUUUUUACUACUCUGAAGAAAGUUUAGUCCUAAUCUCAGUCUGAUUGUUUGGUUCCUUGACUGCCAGCUGCUUGUGGCUUCUACUAGCUGUCCCCAUAAGUCCACAUGUGUGGUCAGGUAACCUCCUCCAAAGGCCAAUAGCUUUAUUUUUAAUUUUUUUUUAAUACAACUUGAAUAAAUAGCUCAUAUAAUAUGUUGGAGCAGAGCAGACUUUAUGGGGAGAGAUAUCAGCCAGGCCUUCUACUUCACUGUUGUCCCUUCCUUCCUCUAUUCCUGUUAUGCUUUUUCAAGUGACCAGGCUGGCUUUUUUCCCUCCCUUAAAACAAACAAAAAAAAAAACCUCACAGGAAUACCUGAAGUGAAAACUCAAGUAUAAAAUCUGAAGUUUAAAACCAGACUGUAUCUACAUCAUUACAGUUAGGAUGGAAGAUAGCAAUGGCUUCACUGAAAUUUGGUCACUGGAGCCAUGGAAGUUGCAGAGAGAAGGAGAAAGAAAAAGCACUGCUUCCCUUGCCAAGCACUAGACCGCCAGCCUCAGAGGCGAUUGUUCUGGUUCCAAAGAUGAAAAAUAGUCCUGAAACCCUGCCUUGACAGGGUGGUGGGGUUAAGGGACAAAUUCUGCCCCGUCCGAAUUCCUUUGCAUGGCCCUGACAGCAUAGAAGGGGGAAGAUAACCCCCACUGUAGGAGGGCAGGGGCUGCCAUGGGCCAGUCCCGGGCACAAACCUGAGAAAACACGUGCUAGGAGAGGACACAUGGUGGCGGGAAGGGCUGACGCGCUGCCUGCUGCAGGGGACUGCGCAGAGAUCGCACCAGCGUUUUGUACAAAGCUUGGUACAUCCUAACGGGGAAGCCAGAGUUCAGCCUUUACCACCUCAGACACCUACAAAAUUCAGUGGCGGUUAGACUGAGGGCAAUAGGAGAAGAAAAGCUGGGUUAAAGACCCAAACCCACCUGUGGGUAUGUACUUCUGCACCUGCCACUGGCUUUACUGCUGGGUCACUGUCAUUGCAAGCAGCUGCCAGCCCUGAAAUAACCUUGUAAAAUUUUAUGUAUACCUAACAACUUAGAAAAAGUCUGCUUGCCUGCUUCCUUACCUGAAUAACAACAGUAGGAAAAAAAAAAAAGUACUUACCUACACACACACACAAAAAAAAAAAACCAAACCCACAAACCUUUGCAGGAGGGAGAAGAGGUACCCCAAAGCCUCUCGCUGACUUUGCAGUUCAAGCCUGUAUCAGUAUUCUAAAACGUAUUUCAGACCAAGCUCCAGUUAAACAGCUUGGCACAUCAGGGAUAUGUGCAGCCAUCCAGCACCUUCCACCAGCACAACGCUGUUACCCCACAUACAAGGAAAGAUUUCACACCUUUUCCAUUUUUUAAAACAGGACAAAACCACCCUCUUCCAUUUGCAUUUAGCAUUCCUGGCCUCAGACUUCUUGGAAAUACCAUGAACUUUAACUGUUAUGCGUCCUCUGAGGGAAUCGCUUCCAAAGAAUAUUGCUGCUUCCUCUCUACCGUGCCACAAGGCCAGCAAGCGGUUGGGAAUCCAUCAGCUGAGACAUCUGCAUGAAAAACUGGAUUUGGAGUUGGUUUUGGACUCUUCAUUCAGCCUGAACAACAACGCUGAGCACAGUAAAGCAGACAGGAGGGGCUGUAGGUUAAGGUCAGAAGGCAAAAAGCCCUUUCUCCUACAAUCCAGCUGCCCUGGCAGAAGCAACAGGAUCCUCUGGGGCUUUGGACACUGAACUACGCAUACAGAAUUCAGAAAGAGCAACAGUUGUUCCAAAACUUCACUUCAAUUUCUGUCCGGAGUGUCCUUCUUUGCUGCAAUUUAGCACAAUGAAUAAAUCAAGGGUCUUCUUCCAUGUCAUCUGGAUUAGGAGCCAUAAUAAAAUGCUGGGGGUACUCAA